rnacentral:lncRNA from 1 species
CAUGCCCCAUUUUGCUCAAAAUUUGAGUCGCCCUUUUUGGGUUUUUAACUCAGAUCCACCUUUGGUCAAAGCGCCCUUUGCGGGUUUUCGCCUUGACCUCUCCUUUUUCUUUUUCUUUUUUCUUAUUUCUCUUUCUCCUAUUUUUGACUUUGAGUUUUUCGAAUUUUUUUUGUUUUUGUUUUUGUUUUUUUUUUAAUCUGAACUCACGGGAUCAGGCAAAUCCUGGUCAUUCUUUUCGAUCAAAAUCAAUGUUAUUCUAAAGUCUUCCACAUAAGAUCUUCCACUUUCAUCUUGUAUGCGAAAAAACCUUCUUUGGUAUUAGAUUUCUUUCAUAGAGCCUUCUGGGGCGAAACUACGACAAAAAACUUUGGAUCUUCCUCUUCAAUUAGG